GUCGACGGGAGAUUGCUAGCUUGCUAAUAAUUCUCUAGUGGCGCACGGGUGAGUAACACGUGAGUAACCUGCCCCCAAGAGUGGGAUAGCCCCGGGAAACUGGGAUUAAUACCGCAUAAAAUCGCAAGAUUAAAGCAGCAAUGCGCUUGGGGAUGGGCUCGCGUCCUAUUAGUUAGUUGGUGAGGUAACGGCUCACCAAGGCGAUGACGGGUAGCCGGUCUGAGAGGAUGUCCGGCCACACUGGAACUGAGACACGGUCCAGACACCUACGGGUGGCAGCAGUCGAGAAUCAUUCACAAUGGGGGAAACCCUGAUGGUGCGACGCCGCGUGGGGGAAUGAAGGUCUUCGGAUUGUAAACCCCUGUCAUGUGGGAGCAAAUUAAAAAGAUAGUACCACAAGAGGAAGAGACGGCUAACUCUGUGCCAGCAGCCGCGGUAAUACAGAGGUCUCAAGCGUUGUUCGGAAUCACUGGGCGUAAAGCGUGCGUAGGCGGUUUCGUAAGUCGUGUGUGAAAGGCGGGGGCUCAACCCCCGGACUGCACAUGAUACUGCGAGACUAGAGUAAUGGAGGGGGAACCGGAAUUCUCGGUGUAGCAGUGAAAUGCGUAGAUAUCGAGAGGAACACUCGUGGCGAAGGCGGGUUCCUGGACAUUAACUGACGCUGAGGCACGAAGGCCAGGGGAGCGAAAGGGAUUAGAUACCCCUGUAGUCCUGGCAGUAAACGGUGCACGCUUGGUGUGCGGGGAAUCGACCCCCUGCGUGC
rnacentral:rRNA from 1 species